ensembl:lncRNA novel transcript
AGUCACGUGGUAGACGUGGUGCCUGGGAGCCGGGGUCAGCGAGCGCUCAGUCUGAGAGAAAACGUGUUCCUUCCCCCUGAGACGUGUCCCGUGCCGGGCGAUGGCUCGCGGCAAACCUCCGCUCCCACAGGGAAGGAGCCCUGUGAGGCCUGGCCUGGGAGCUCUCGGGAGCGUGGGUGGAGAUAGAGAUGAAUCUACAAAAUGGAAAAAGUGUUGAACUUGGGAGUCAAGAGACCAGGAUUCUAGUUCUGAUGAUGCCCUUCACAUACCGAAUGCCCUGGGGAAGCCGCUUCCCUUCUCUCAGCCUUGGGUUCUCCAUGUGUCAAAUUAGGCUGUGGAAAAAGAAACACUCAUCUGGCUGAACGGAGACAUGAGCCUCUGUAAACUGAUUCUUCCUCCACAAAGGGGCCCUGGCCCUCACAGCCCCAUCCUCUUUCAUCCUUGCUGCCUGAUCCUAGGGAAGCUUUGCUCUGGUGGUGCCUGGAGCUGUGAUGUAUGCAGUCAUUUGAAACCCCAGCUUUGUGGAAGACACGAGACAUUGAUUUUUACUCUACCAUUUGGAGAAAAAUCAUUUUUAUAUUAGCAGAAAUGUUGAUAGAC